rnacentral:rRNA from 1 species
CCUGAGUAGAAUAUACUAAGGCGUAAGAGUGAACCCCCGUUAAGGAACUCGGCAAUCUAGCCCCGUAACUUCGGGAGAAGGGGUGCCCCCCUUUGGGGGGGCCGCAGUGAAUGGGCCCAACCGACUGUUUAUCAAAAACACAGCACUCUGCCAAGACGCAAGUCCAAGUAUAGGGUGUGACACGUGACCAAUGCGGAAAGAUUAAGGCAAGCGGUUAGUCGCAAGGCGAAGCUGUGAACCUAAGUCCCCGUGAAUGUCGGCCGUAACUAUAACGGUCCUAAGGUAGCGAAAUUCCUUGUCGGGUAAGUUCCGACCUGCACGAAUCGUGUAACGAGUUGGGCGCUGUCUCAACGGGGUGCUCAGUGAAUUUGUAUUGGCGGUGAAGAUGCCGCCUACCCGUGGAAGGACGGAAAGACCCUAUGCACCUUAACUGUACUCUGUCACUGUUGUUUCGGUUUUCAUGCUCAGUGUAAGUGGGAGACUUUGAGGCAGCCCUUUCGGGGGUUGCUGAGUCGUCAAUGAGACACCACCCUUGGGGAUUGAAACAUCUAACACCGGUCCCGUGAAUCCGGGCGGAGGACAAUGGCAGACGGUCAGUUUUACUGGGGCGGUAUCCUCCCAAAGAGUAACGGAGGAGCGCGAUGGUUGGUUCAACCUGGUUGGCAAUCAGGUGACGAGUGCAUUGGCAUAAACCAGCCUAACUGUGAGACCUACAAGUCGAGCAGAUGCGAAAGCAGGUCAAAGUGAUCCGGCGCUUGAAAAUGGAAUCGGCGUCGCUCAACGGACAAAAGGUACGCUAGGGAUAACAGGCUGAUUUUGCCCAAGAGUUCAUAUCGACGGCAAAGUUCGGCACCUCGAUGUCGGCUCGUCACAUCCUGGGGCUGGAGAAGGUCCCAAGGGUCCGGCUGUUCGCCGGUUAAAGUGGCACGCGAGCUGGGUUCAGAACGUCGCGAGACAGUUCGGUCCUCUAUCCUCCAUGGGCGCAGGAAAAUUGCGGGGUUCAGUCCUUAGUACGAGAGGACCGGGACUGACGCACCUCUGGUGUUCCAGUUGUCUUGUCAAAGGCAUCGCUGGGCAGCCAUGUGCGGAAGGGAUAAGCGCUGAAAGCAUCUAAGCGCCAAGCCCAUCCCAAGAUAAGUUUUCCCUGAAGGAUCGUGGCAGACUACCACGUCGAUAGGAUGCGGGUGUAAGUGCAGCAAUGCAUUCAGCUUAGCAUUACUAAUCAUCCGUUCGGCUUAAUUCU